GAUGAACGCUAGCUACAGGCUUAGCACAUGCAAGUCGAGGGGAAACGACAUCGAAAGCUUGCUUUUGAUGGGCGUCGACCGGCGCACGGGUGAGUAACGCGUAUCCAACCUGCCCACCACUUGGGGAUAACCUUGCGAAAGUAAGACUAAUACCCAUGAUAUCUCUAGAAGACAUCUGAAAGGGAUUACAGAUUUAUCGGUGAUGGAUGGGGAUGCGUCUGAUUAGCUUGUUGGCGGGGUAACGGCCCACCAAGGCGACGAUCAGUAGGGGUUCUGAGAGGAAGGUCCACCACAUUGGAACUGAGACACGGUCCAAACUCCUACGGGAGGCAGCAGUGAGGAAUAUUGGUCAAUGGGCGAGAGCCUGAACCAGCCAAGUAGCGUGCAGGAUGACGGCCCUAUGGGUUGUAAACUGCUUUUAUAAGGGAAUAAAGUGGGAGUCGUGACUCCUUUUGCAUGUACCUUAUGAAUAAGGACCGGCUAAUUCCGUGCCAGCAGCCGCCGUAA
rnacentral:rRNA from 1 species